rnacentral:antisense_RNA from 1 species
AUGGGCUCAAGGACAGCUUGCCUGACUGCAGCCAUAAGGAUGAAGCCUCUUCAGGUAGAGAAGGACUCCAGAUUGAAAUGAAAACCACAGCAAAACCCAUGACUGGAAGCCAUCUCCGAUAAGUCUUCUGUGGCCGGCUUCCUGUGGUAAGCCUCCCCAUCAAGGGUAACUGCAGUCUCCUUGGAAAUAAAGGAGAUCAGGACUC